AGAUCCUCCUCUUGUAGAGUUUUUUCUGUAAGCCUGGAUCUUCAGAGAUGGGUUGCUGUAGUGCAUCUUGCUGUGUCUGCCUUCUGAAACGGAAUUUUUUUGGUCAACUGCGGGUCUCACAAAUUGUAGCACUCUUUCCAAGAAAAGGAGAUACGCAGAAGAGAAUUCCCCCAAACUGUGGUGCACACAGAAGAGUCUGCCCUGUCUGUGGCUUGCUCUGAGCUCUGCUUCCUGCUUGGUGAGCCACGGUCGUGGUCUUAUUAGAGAAAUGUUGAAGAUUCUCACCUAUCUGUUUACUGCGAUGGCUAUCUACAUUU